rnacentral:rRNA from 1 species
UACGUAGGGGGCAAGCGUUGUCCGGAAUUAUUGGGCGUAAAGAGCGUGUAGGCGGUCCGGUAAGUCAGCUGUGAAAGUCAAGGGCUCAACCCUUGAAUGCCGGUUGAUACUGUCGGGCUAGAGUCCGGAAGAGGCGAGUGGAAUUCCUGGUGUAGCGGUGAAAUGCGCAGAUAGUCAGGAAGAACACCGAUGGCGAAGGCAGCUCUCUGGGACGGUACUGACGCUGAGACGCGAA